GAUGAACGCUGGCGGCGUGCCUAAUACAUGCAAGUCGAGCGAACAGACGAGGAGCUUGCUCCUCUGACGUUAGCGGCGGACGGGUGAGUAACACGUGGAUAACCUACCUAUAAGACUGGGAUAACUUCGGGAAACCGGCGCUAAUACCGGAUAACAUGUUGCACCGCAUGGUUCAACAGUGAAAGACGGUUUUGCUGUCGCUUGUAGAUGGAUCCGCGUCGCAUUAUCGAGUUGGUAGGGUAGCGGCAUACCAAGGCAACGAUGCGUAGCCGGCAUGAGAGGGUGAACGGCGACAGGGGGACGGAGAGAGGGACCAGACUCCUACGGGAGGCAGCAGUGGGGAAUAUUGCACAAUGGGCGGAAGCCUGAUGCAGCAACGAAGCGUGCGGGAUGAAGGCCUUCGGGUUGUAAACAGCGUUCGCCGGUGACGAAGCGGGAGGGACGGGAAUGGGUAAAGAAGCACCGGCUAACUACGUG
rnacentral:rRNA from 1 species